CCUACGGGGGGCAGCAGUGGGGAAUAUUGCACAAUGGGGGAAAGCCUGAUGCAGCGAAGCCGCGUGAGGGAAGAAGGAAUUCGGGAUGGAAAGCUCUAUCAGCAGGGAAGAAAAUGACGGUACCUGAGGAAGAAGCCGCGGCUAACUACGUGCCAGCAGCCGCGGUAAUACGUAGGGGACAAGCGUUAUCCGGAUUUACUGGGUGUAAAGGGGGCGUAGAGGGCAGUGCAAGUCUGGAGUGAAAGGCGGGGGCCCAACCCCCGGACGGCCCGUGAAACUGGAUGGCGGGAGUGAAGGAGAGGUAAGUGGAAUUCCUGGUGUAGCGGUGAAAUGCGUAGAUAUUAGGAGGAACACCAGUGGCGAAGGCGGCUUACUGGACUGUAACUGACGUUGAGGCUCGAAAGCGUGGGGAGCAAACAGGAUUAGAUACCCGAGUAGUC
rnacentral:rRNA from 1 species